AUGUCGUCGUCGGUCGGAGGCGGAGGGGGAGGCGGCGCGGCUUUGGCCGGAGGGGACGUCGCUGGCCUUCUGGACAAGGCCAAGGAGCUGGACCAGCUGCGGAAGGAGCAGGACGAUGUGGCCACCGAGAUCAAUAAGAUCCACAAGAAGAUCAUCUCCUCCCCAGAGAUGGUGGAUAAAUCAGUUGAUGCCAUGAUGGCUAGGCUUCGUGGUUUUUAUGUACAAGCAAGAGAACUCUCUGAGAGUGAAGUCAGUGUUUCAUCUGCUUUGGUUGGACUAUUAGAUGGUUUGUUGCAAUCUGGAGUUUCAGCUGCACCAAGAAAAAAGAUAGAAAUCAGUGAACAGAAAAAGAAGAGGAUGAAGUCUGAUACAGACACAACACGAUUUUCCUCUGCAUCUAUGAGGAGCCAACUUGACCAAGCUGCAAACCUUAAAGGAGAGCAGGUUGCAGCUAGGGUAAAAUCGGAUGAUGAAAAAGACGAGUGGUUUGUGGUGAAGGUUAUACAUUUCGAUAAGGAAACAAAAGAAUUUGAAGUAUUGGAUGAGGAGCCUGGUGAUGAUGAAGAGAGCGCCCAAAAGUUUGAGAGGAAAUACAAGUUGCCUAUGUCAUAUAUUAUUCCAUUUCCAAAGAAAGGAGAUCCGUCUAGUGCUCAGGAUUUUGGACAGGGUCGGCAAGUCUUAGCUGUUUAUCCUGGCACAACAGCAUUAUAUAGGGCUACCGUAGCCUCUCAACGUAAGAGGAAGUCUGAUGAUUACAAUCUCUUAUUUGAUGACGACGAAGAGGAUGGGAAUCUACCAGAGAGAGCUGUUCCAUUUUACAGAGUGGUUGCGCUCCCGGAGGGCCAUCGGCAAUGA
rnacentral:rRNA from 1 species